GAUGAACGCUGGCGGCGUGCCUAAUACAUGCAAGUCGAGCGAACAGACGAGGAGCUUGCUCCUCUGAUGUUAGCGGCGGACGGGUGAGUAACACGUGGAUAACCUACCUAUAAGACUGGGAUAACUUCGGGAAACCGGAGCUAAUACCGGAUAACAUGUUGAACCGCAUGGUUCAACAGUGAAAGACGGUCUUGCUGUCACUUAUAGAUGGAUCCGCGCCGCAUUAGCUAGUUGGUAAGGUAACGGCUUACCAAGGCAACGAUGCGUAGCCGACCUGAGAGGGUGAUCGGCCACACUGGAACUGAGACACGGUCCAGACUCCUACGGGAGGCAGCAGUAGGGAAUCUUCCGCAAUGGGCGAAAGCCUGACGGAGCAACGCCGCGUGAGUGAAGAAGGUCUUCGGAUCGUAAAACUCUGUUAUGAGGGAAGAACAAAUGUGUAAGUAACUAUGCACGUCUUGACGGUACCUAAUCAGAAAGCCACGGCUAACUACGUG
rnacentral:rRNA from 1 species